rnacentral:pre_miRNA from 15 species
GGACUCCUCCAUGUCUCCCAGCCCAAGGUGCAGUGCUGCAUCUCUGGUCAAUUGGGAGUCUGAGAUGAAGCACUGUAGCUCGGGAAGGGAGGAACUGCACGUCCUG